GGUCCACUGGUUGGCGCCUUCAUCUGGACCAUUGGAUGGCUUCCUGGAUGAAGGAUCUGGUCCAUUGGUCAGCGCCUAAAUCUGGACCACUGGAUGGCUCUCUGGAUGAAAGAUCUGCACCAUUGCUCAACGCCUGAAUUCGGACCACUGGAUGGCUCUCUGGAUGAAAGAUCUGGACCGUUGCUCAGCGCCUGAAUCUGGACCAUCGGU
rnacentral:lncRNA from 1 species